UACGUAGGGGGCAAGCGUUGUCCGGAAUUAUUGGGCGUAAAGCGCGCGCAGGCGGUUCCUUAAGUCUGAUGUGAAAUCUCGCGGCUCAACCGCGAGCGGUCAUUGGAAACUGGGGAACUUGAGUACAGAAGAGGAGAGUGGAAUUCCACGUGUAGCGGUGAAAUGCGUAGAUAUGUGGAGGAACACCAGUGGCGAAGGCGACUCUCUGGUCUGUAACUGACGCUGAGGCGCGAAAGCGUGGGGAGCGAACAGG
rnacentral:rRNA from 1 species